GGAAGUCACAUGACUUCCCCUCAUUAUGAUUCAGACAGACUCCGAAGUUUGGACUAUGACAAUAACAAACCUUUGAAUUUACAAGUAAAUGGUCACGCCAAAGAUCUCUCUACCAAGUACCAUGGGAAAAGCGAUGAUGAUGAGGAUGACGAUAGAUUCUCCGACGAUCAGCAAGAUGACUUGGAAGACAGUUUGGCAGGAAGUGACUCCUUGAAUGGGAGCGACCUCGGGGACAAAGUGGCCCCUCAAGUCUCCUCGUUCCAAUCCCAGCUCCAGAACGGGGAAAUCCCAAACAUCUCCUCCAUAGAAACCCUUCUCCUGAACAUCCAGGGUUUGCUGAAAGUUGCCGCAGAGAAUGCCCGCCACCAUGAGAGGCAACUGAGCAUUGAGAAAACUGAGCUUAAAAUGGAAUUACUCAGGGAGAAAGAAAUGAGAGAAGGUCUUGAGAAGCAGCUCUCAGAAGAACAGAAAAACAAAGCUCUUUUAUUACGACGAAUUAAGAAAGAGAAGCGCGCACGUCGAAGACUUCAGGAACAAAUGGGUGGCACUCAGAUCGAAGAAAGCAAAAAUAUCAUCAACGAUGCAGCCAGCGUCACCAGCCAAGAGUCUGACAAACACACCCCUGAUACACCAAAUGAAAAAGAGACAGAGAAAGAGAACAAUUCUGAGUCAGAAAGGAGAUCUUCAGAUGUUCCACAGGAAAGACCAAGUCACCUUUUUGAGAAUUUCAUCAAUCACAACAACAACAACAACACACGAUUUCCCUACAUGACGCCCCUCAAGGGAGAGGUUCAGUAGAGGGUGCCCCUGGUCGACAACACUCGAAGUGUACAAGUACACCACCUUUUUAAAUGGAGAGGACCCCUGUAGGUUCCCCAGCAAAUCAUACCUAGUUGUUCUCAAACAGCAUAACACAGACAAUAGACAAUGUCGUAGAUUGGGAAAGCCUCUAAUACUCACCUCCAUGCCAAGGACCGAUUUAUUUAAGCAUCAUCUACCGAGCAAUCAAAAGCCACAGGAGAGUUUUGCUUGUGUUUUAUGUUAGAGAGCUAGCCGAGUAGAUCUGUUCUGUUUAGCCAAUUUCAAGCUUGUCCAUGCCAUGUAUGAAAAUUUGUAAAAAUCUAGAUUAGUUCAUUGUUUCUCUAUUUGUUGUAUAUAAAAAAUUUUGAUGUACUUGAACACAUUAGUUUAUAUGACAUUACAAUAACUUGUGCUUUAAUACAUUAAUGUUAAUGAGUUCUUCUGUACGGAUGGGUUUUUUGUUCCCUUGUCUUUUAGAAGUUUUACAAAGGAAAUUUGUUUGAUUUCAUUGUUGGGUUAUAAUGUAAUGGUGCUUAGUUUGCUUUGGAUUUAUGGCUAUAUUCGACCACAAAAAAAUACAAAAAAUUGUUCAAAGGUCUGUUUUGGACUGUAAUCAUGAGUGUGAAAAGUACCGAUUGUUUUAUCCUAGCCUGAUCAAUUAUUUUCAGAGUAUCCGUUGUUGUCAUAUGUGAGAAGACAGUGCAAUAUAUGUCCUAUUGUGUUUAGUUGUUUUAGGUGCUACAUUCAUUGAUGGUAUCGUGUAUAUAGUACAAGCCGCAAUCAAUCCGGAAAGAGUCCAUUGUUUGUUUGAAUUUUGUAACAUAGUCACGUGUAACUGAAUAUAUGAUGAUGACAUUCCUCAUUCUGUCAGCAACAAAAAAACAUUAAAAGGAAAUU
rnacentral:misc_RNA from 1 species